UGAUUUUUUGUCUCUUAGGCUUCCCUAGC
rnacentral:piRNA from 1 species